ACCUGUAGCAAGAAGUGGGAUGUUCUGGAUUGGAAGAGAAACAGCAAAAUGUUAGCAAAACAGUUUAAAGGAAAAGCUGUAAGAGAAGAUGAAAACAGCUUACAAUGAUCCAAAGGGAGGCAUUAAGGCAAUGAGGAAAUGUUAAUGCAGGCUAAAGGCAAGUCUGGGAAGAAAAUGAAAAAAUUCCCCUAAUGGGUGAUUCAAAAACAAUCAUAAGAAUAAUAAUAGUUGAAAAAAACACUAGUAGAAUUAAGCAAGAAUACUGAAGAUAAUUUAUUAACAUAUU
rnacentral:lncRNA from 1 species